rnacentral:rRNA from 1 species
CACGUAGGGAGCAAGCGUUGUCCGGAUUUAUUGGGCGUAAAGAGCUCGUAGGUGGUUCGUUAAGUCGGGUGUGAAAACUCUGGGCUCAACUCAGAGACGCCACUCGAUACUGUCGUGACUGGAGUCUGGUAGGGGAGUGUGGAAUUCCCAGUGUAGCGGUGAAAUGCGCAGAUAUUGGGAGGAACACCAGUGGCGAAGGCGGCACUCUGGGCCAGUACUGACACUGAGGAGCGAAAGCGUGGGGAGCGAACAGG